rnacentral:rRNA from 1 species
CAGCCGCCGCGGUAACACGGAGGGUGCAAGCGUUAAUCGGAAUUACUGGGCGUAAAGCGCACGCAGGCGGUCUGACAAGUCAGAUGUGAAAUCCCCGGGCUUAACCUGGGAACUGCAUUUGAAACUGUCAGGCUGGAGUCUUGUAGAGGGGGGUGGAAUUCCAGGUGUAGCGGUGAAAUGCGUAGAGAUCUGGAGGAAUACCGGUGGCGAAGGCGGCCCCCUGGACAAAGACUGACGCUCAGGUGCGAAAGCGUGGGGAGCAAACAGGAUUAGAUACCCCUGUAGUCCCUGUCUCUUAUAA